rnacentral:lncRNA from 1 species
GAUGUCCUGAUAAAGAAGCGACGAUUUCAUCAGAUUUAACCCCCGGACAUCAUACUCGGCCAAAUACCGAGGACACCAAUGUACCUUCAUUAACCCCAUUGCUAGACUGACGUCGAUAACUCCGAUCGAUGACUCAUCAAGACCGCCAUGGAGAGUCAAGUCAAAAUGAUUUCAUUGGCUUUCGUCCGAGCCCUUACUCGGACGCAUACCAAUCCUAAGAUCG